AAGGCUUUCUGGCUUCCCUCGGCUGUGCGGGUAAUCUGCGGAGCGAGGUGAGUGCGAGGGUGUAGCCUUUGGGCUUCGAUGCCUUCCAGGCCCCUCUGAUGGGGCGCAAUCCUCGCGUACACUCUACCCUGCACCCUUCUCUCGGAGUCAGCUUGGGGAGAGCCUGAAGCAGUGCCCAGACCACUUGGCAGGUUAGCGGGUCGCUUGUCCCUCUAAGGGUGCCUCUGCUCGCUGCGCGUCCUCCUGAGCUUCUUCAUUUACCAGCGCCUCCUGUGUGUUGGUGCUGGCAGGCUCCUUGCUGUGCACAAAGCUCGUUCCAGGGCCAGGUCUCAUCACGGUCUUGGCUUUUCCUUUAUUAGACACUUUCAAAGCACCAAAUUCUCUGUAGAUUUUAAAAUGUACCAGUGUUUUAAAAUCGGAGACACAAUAAUAUAAUAAUAAUUAAUAUAAUUAAUAAGAUGACUUGUUAAUUAUAAACAAUUGCAUCCAAUUAAGUUUUUUCUAAAGUUCCAGAACAUUUAAGACCUCAUACUUAGGAUUUUUAUAUACACAGAUUUUACUUUGUAUUGCUGUCAGUAUCACUAUAGACCGAAGGAGAAGGGAAAGGCAGGAAAACCACUGCACUGAGUUCCCAGUCUUUAACAGGACUUCCCUGCUGGCAGAUUGUCAGGCCCUUCCUUCACAGAGAAGAGGCUAACCAUAUUUUAACAUUCCAAGCUGCUACUGAAAAAGUCAGAGUUGCAAAAGAUCCCAGGCAUUGCAGCUGCAAGAGACCCCAGAUGCUAUAACCGUAAGUAAUCCCUCCGACAGCUUCUACAGCUGCAAGUGCCAACAGCAGAGUUUACAUAAAGCAUUGCGAAAGCCAACCUCGGCAAGUUACACACCCAAGCACGUUAUUAUAGCUCCAGAAAGUAAAGGCACAGAAUUUUAAAAUGCAAGGAGUCUGUGUGUUUAGCCAUGAAACGAAUGGCAUUACAUGCUUCUGACCUCCCCUCUCAGUCAACAGUACUUGUUAGGGCAAAUGAACUCCUUUCUGCUGAGCUGAGGUCUUCAAGAAACCGUAGACAAACAGCAAUCUGGCCCUCACACAGGUAAUCACUGAUUACCCAGGGUGGCCCAGAGCUCGCUCUAGCCCAGGCUGACCUUGAGUUUGGAGAACUUCUGCCUCAGCCUCUCAAGUAGCUAGAUCCAGUCAGUCCUGUGCCACGAAGUCUGGCUUUUUGUAUUUUGUAUUCACAAUUAGAUGUGUGCUUCUGGUUUAACACAUACCUCUUCCUGCUGUUAAGUUCUAUAAUGGCAGGGGCAAAGUCUUGAUAACUGCCCAGCCCUUGAUGCCUGUUCACAAUAAAUAUUGUCAAUUUUGUAGAAA
rnacentral:lncRNA from 1 species